UGAGGGUGUGUGUAGUUGUUACGGUAAGAAUCGUGCGUGCUACAGAAUGAUGCAAACAGCACACAAACUCUCGCACCGUGCAAGCACUUGUAAACAAACUUCAUCACAAAUUGCUGCAAGCCCUACAUUCCUGGAAACAUGCACGCAGCAGACCAUGCACGAUACUCAACGUGCACGAAACACGCACCAGCGAGCUCCUGCAAGCAUAGAUUGUGCAGCACACCAAAGUAGAGCUUUCCACCAGUGGACCGGAGGGCACGGGAAAUGAUACCUUCCCCAACUUAAAGGGUAGUUGUUGCCAGCUCUUAUCACAACAGAAAACAAACAUACGGCCUAUUUGUCACCUUGCGUACGUCGCCAACCGUCCGUUACCGUUUUUAGUUACAGCUUUUUCCCAACCCUCGC
rnacentral:lncRNA from 1 species